AUGCACACAGUGGGGGACACGACCCUGUCCUCACAGAGUCUACUGUCUCCGUGUCACAUCCAGGCCAUCUCCCCACCAGAGUUCCAUGCCGUUUCCCUCACUCACCUCUGCACCUGCCUCCUCUGCUCCUGUGCUAAGAGCUUCCCUCGUGUGACAUGCCUGCCCCCUUGUCCUGGUAAGAACUCUCCCACCCACAAGGCCCAGCUCACUGGCCACCACCUCCAGGCAGCCUUCCAAGUUCUCUUGGCCAGAAGCAACCUCUCCCUGCUCUGGACCCUGGGGCCCUUUAGCUCACCUGGACGUUCCUACUUGGGGCCAGGCCUUGCUCCCCUUCCCGAUCUCGCUGUGGAGAAUCGCCCCCCAAGGGCGGGGGCUGUGUCUGGCUUCUGCCCUCCCCACAGCACCGGGCACACAGCAUGUGCUCACUGGCUUGUCUGCUGCUCUAUUUCCCUCCCUGCCAGCAGGCUACACCAGCCCAGAGCUAGUCCAGAACUUUCUGCUCCUGCCACUGUAACUUGUUCCCUAGAAGGGACAGGGGAAUUUGGGUUCUUCCAGAGAAAAUUUCUGAGUCUGUGGCGGAACAAGGGGAGACGCGAAACCCACUCAGGGAGUUUCCCCAGCAGUGGGGGCUGGGGCGGCCUCCCCAUUAAUAAAGCUGCCAAUCAACCUCGUGACAGCCCCUGUUGUCCUGCACCGAGGAGCAUGUGGAGGCUCCUGUGGCAGGUGGAGAAGCCACAAGACACGGCAUUAGCCACCGGGCAGAGGGCAUGGAGAACAGAGGGUCAGGAGACCCUCCCCCCACGAGGGGUAGCAUCAGCAGGGACCCGCUCCCUCUGCCUCCUCCUGGGACCCAGGCCCUCACCAAGCACCUCUGGGCGUUUGCUGCUCCUCGGGGCCCAAGGCUCUGUUUUCGGGCCAGAGCUUCCCUCUCCCUGGCCAGGGUGGCUGAGGGCAGCAGCACCCUUUCCCCAGCCCAGCCCGGCCUCCUCUGACUCAGCAGGAUGGGGCCAGCUGGGGGCUGCUCUGUCUGGGAUUGCAGAUCGCACCCCUUCUGCAGGAAGCUGGCACCAAAGAUGA
rnacentral:lncRNA from 1 species